rnacentral:rRNA from 1 species
GUUAUAUGGUCAAGUGAAGAAGCGCAUACGGUGGAUGCCUUGGCAGUCAGAGGCGAUGAAAGACGUGGUAGCCUGCGAAAAGCUUCGGGGAGUCGGCAAACAGACUGUGAUCCGGAGAUGUCUGAAUGGGGGAACCCAGCCAUCAUAAGAUGGUUAUCUUACACUGAAUACAUAGGUGUAAGAGGCGAACCAGGGGAACUGAAACAUCUAAGUACCCUGAGGAAA